ACGAACCGGACAAACGUUAUUCGGAAUCACUGGGCUUAAAGGGUGCGUAGGCGGCCUGACAAGUUGGGUGUGAAAUCCCUCGGCUCAACCGAGGAAUAGCGCUCAAAACUGUUGGGCUCGAGGGAGUUAGAGGUAAGCGGAACUUAGGGUGGAGCGGUGAAAUGCGUUGAUAUCCUAAGGAACACCAGUGGCGAAAGCGGCUUACUGGAGCUCUUCUGACGCUGAGGCACGAAAGCCAGGGGAGCGAACG
rnacentral:rRNA from 1 species